rnacentral:rRNA from 1 species
CGCUGGCGGCGUGCCUAACACAUGCAAGUCGAACGAGAAAAGGGGAGCAAUCCUCUGAGUAAAGUGGCGACCGGGUGAGUAACACGUGACUAACCUACCCUCGAGUGUGGAAUAACAUCGGGAAACCGAUGCUAAUACCGCAUAACAUCGCAAGAUCAAAGGAGCAAUCCGCUUGAGGAGGGGGUCGCGGCUGAUUAGCUAGUUGGCGGGGUAACGGCCCACCAAGGCGAAGAUCGGUAGCCGGCCUGAGAGGGCGCACGGCCACACUGGAACUGAAACACGGUCCAGACUCCUACGGGAGGCAGCAGUGGGGAAUUUUGCGCAAUGGGGGAAACCCUGACGCAGCAACGCCGCGUGGAGGAUGAAGCCCCUUGGGGCGUAAACUCCUUUCGACCAAGACGAUGAUGACGGUACUGGUGGAAGAAGCACCGGCUAACUCUGUGCCAGCAGCCGCGGUAAUACAGAGGGUGCAAGCGUUGUUCGGAAUUAUUGGGCGUAAAGGGCGCGUANGCGGCGCGACAAGUCACCUGUGAAAUCCCCGGGCUUAACUCGGGGCCUGCAGGCGAAACUGUCGUGCUGGA